UGGCUCAGAGGAUAAAGCGUCUGCCUGCAAUGCAGGAGACCCAGGUUUGAUCCCUGG
rnacentral:tRNA from 1 species